AGCACAAUAGCUCAGUGGUCUAGAGCACCAUAGCGCCUAGAGGCCGCAGGUUCAAAUCCUGCUUGUGCCA